ACAUAGAAGAUACUUAAUAAAUGUUAAUUGAAAUCCGUUAAAAAAAAUGUUCCAUGCAGCAGUAUAAUGGAAAGACCACCAGGGAGUAAGAUCUGGGCUCAAGUCCUGUUUGUUCCUUCCUACAUGUUGGCUGUGUGACCCCUGUUGUGUGAGGCUGGAUUUUUUUCUUAUACUUCAAUCAAAACAACACAUCCCAACAAAAUGAAUGCAGAAACAGAUAUGAGAAUCCAGCUGCCUUCUUUUAAGCCAGACAUUGAAGAUACCUGCCAAAAUAUGUAAAAAAUAAUGCCAUUCUUCUCACUACAUUGUUUUUGUCUUGGAAAAUGUAGUUAUUUUUUCACAAAUAUAUGGUAUUUGUGUUGUAA